UGUGUGUGUAACUGUUAGUGAGUGUGUCUGUUAAUGUGUGUGUCUGUUAGUGUGACACACACAUUAACAUACACACUCACUAACAGUUACACACA